UCCAACUUCAGCGAUCUACGAGAAAUCCUCAACAGUCGGCGCGAGCGAGAAGUCGACAGCUACAACCAGUUUCCUGCUUUCACAAACUAGGUAAUGAAAACAAAAUUACCCAAAAAGUUCAAACCAACCAGCAUUACCAAGUACGACGGCAAGCAAGACCCAGUUCAAUGGCUACGCUGUUACUCGCUAGCCGUCCAAGCAGCCGGGGGUAACAACGACACCAAAGUCAUUCAUUUCCCCAUAUGCAUGGAACCUGCACCACUGACCUGGCUCGAG
rnacentral:lncRNA from 1 species